GGUUGUUGACGCUACAAAGUCAAGGUACACUUUGUCUCGUUGGUUCACAGGGUAGCUGGCUCGAGUGCAAGAAAGAAGUCAUAGCCAAAGGUCUAAGUAUCAUUUACUCACUUCCUUCUAGCUGUUAAUUCCAUAAGACAUUAAAUUACUGUUGAUGUCAUUAUCACAUAUGUCUUGAUGUUUUCAUCCUUUAGAACACGACUCUUGCACCAGAGGUCUUGAAGCUUCCUCUGCUAUUGAUCUAAAAGGAGGUGGAACAUUACUUGAUGUGGCUUCUCUGUCUCAGUCUUCAACCUAUCAUUUUCAACUGGCUGCUGUCCGGCUUAAAGGAAGAGGUACGAAACAUUGGCCCAUUAGCUUUCAUGCUUUGGAGUCUUCUUGGCCAUUCUGCAGAGGUUAUGGUAACAAGGUUAACUCAUGUGUACUACUAUAUCAACUUGUGUGCCUGACUUGAUUCUGCAGCAGCAAAAGAGCAAAAGAUCGGAUUUCACUCAAUGCUUUCUGUGUAGCUGCAAGCCUUAUGUGACUAAUUCAUAGCAGGUUUUGUUCAUGCAUUGUGAUGUUGUAGUGAUGCAUUGUAAGGUAUAAGUUGUACGACAAAGGACAAGUGGUGACCUCUUCUCUGCAGAAGACUUGCAGACUCACAACUGCUUAGACAGGGUGCAGUGUAGUACCCUCUGAAAUACGGUGGUCAAACGUUGUGGUUCACGACUUUGAAGCAUGAUUCCCUUGUUUGUAGAGACUUUAUUUGAAAUACCAUGAUAUUGUAAUGAGUAUGCACAUGUUUCAAGUUCGUUUCAACUAUUGGUUCAGUUUUUUUGUACACGCUUUAGUCAUGUUGGUUUACUAUUUGUCUUCUUAUUGCUUGGUUUAUAUUUCAAAUGAAUACUGGUUAGAGUUUGUACUACCGAAUUCAUAAUGUAAAUCAAGCUUGUGUUGUGCCCAUAGGUUUCAUGACUUGAUCAA